ACCAGAUCUGUCUGGAGGUAGGAGGGGUGUCUGUCUGUCUGUCUGUCUGUCUAGUGAUCUACCAGAUCUGUCUGGAGGUAGGAGGGGUGUCUGUCUGUCUGCCUGUCUGUCUAGUGAUCUACCAGAUCUGUCUGGAGGUAGGAGGGGUGUCUGUCUGUCUGUCUGUCUGUCUGUCUAGUGAUCUACCAGAUCUGUCUGGAGGUAGGAGGGGUGUCUGUCUGUCUGUCUGCCUGUCUGUAUGGAGGUAGGAGGGGUGGGUGUCUGUCUGCCUGUAUGGAGGUAGGAGGGGUGUCUGUCUGUCUGCAUGGAGGUAGGAGGGGUGUCUGUCUGUCUGCCUGUCUAGUGAUCUACCAGAUCUGUAUGGAGGUAGGAGGGGUGUCUGUCUGUCUGUCUGCAUGGAGGUAGGAGGGG
ensembl:lncRNA